GUGGGUUAUUGCAUUCAGUUUGCGGUAAUCAACGCAAAAUCUCCAUGAGCCAUCCUUUUUCUUGGCAAGAACCACUGGGGCAGCCCACGGGCUCGAGCUCUCCUUCACCACCCCGCUGUCCAGCAUGCCUUGUAGCAAAGUCCUCAGUUCUGGAUAGAGGUUUGGGGGAACCGGGCGAUAGCACUCCCAGAUUGGGGGCGCCGUGCCAGUGGGGAUUUGAUGGGUGACAACGGAUGUUCUGCCAAAAUCCUCUUCAUGGGCUGCAAACACAUGAGACCACUUCUUUAAAAGGGCCUUCAAUUGGGCCUGUUGGUCAUCGUCCAGCCCUUCACCAUACAGAUCUAGGGCUGGGUGAUCGUCACUUAGGGUCCGUCCCACUUGCUGUACAUCCACCUCGAUGACUUGGGAGCCAGUAUUCCAUAACACUAGUCUCGUCCGUCCCCGCACGUCCUUUUGGUCGAUUUGGGUGACUAUGGCCAGGGGGCAUCGCUGAGGCAGCUCCAUGGGGAAUGGGUUUGGAUUACAGAUACGCAGGGAAACCUUCCCUCCCCUGGUCCAGCUUAACGAUCGAGCCACUCGCCAUUCGCACCCCUGAUUUUCCAUAUCUUCAAUCAUGACUUGGCAAUCAGGCAGGCCAACAGAUUGCGGUACAUAGGCCCAGACAAUCAUUUCCGCGGAGGGAGGCAAUACCACAGGGGGCUGUCAUUGGAGUCUAUCCACACCUUGAAGCUCCACCCGAGUCACAGAAGCUUCAGCCCUCCGGCAGGCAGCAAAAGCUGUAUUCCAUAUUCUUUCUGCAGAAGGGGGGAACACAGAUUUAAAUGCAGCAACUCCAGGAUGGCCACCUUUAAAAACCCCGGUCCAGCAAUCUGCCACAACGUUCAUCCCCAAGAGUCCAUACUCAGUGUUAAUGCAGUCAUCGCGGACAAUAACUACCCCCUUCCCC
ensembl:lncRNA